CAAUGAAGUUGUUGGGGAGAAGAUCCAGUGAACUCGGCUACAUCGGGUUGGGUCAAAGUUACUGGUCCUUCGAACGGUCUAUUGUGCGUCGAAAGUCACGUUCAUCUCUGGCAAAUUCCACCGUAGCCUCGGUCGUACAUGUGCUUCGAUCUAUUUUCGUAUUCUUUUCUUGGGUGUUUGACAAAUGCUUCACAAACUAAGCUCAUGUUAAACAUGCACAACUAUGUAAGAUAGUUUCACCUCUCUUAUGUACUUGCAGAUUGACAUGCAUUGCCAAUUUGUAUUGUUUCUAAACUGAAAAAA